rnacentral:rRNA from 1 species
GUGGGGAAUAUUGGACAAUGGGCGCAAGCCUGAUCCAGCCAUGCCGCGUGAGUGAUGAAGGCCUUAGGGUUGUAAAGCUCUUUCAGUGGGGACGAUAAUGACGGUACCCACAGAAGAAGCCCCGGCUAACUUCGUGCCAGCAGCCGCGGUAAUACGAAGGGGGCUAGCGUUGUUCGGAUUUACUGGGCGUAAAGCGCACGUAGGCGGAUCGUUAAGUCGGGGGUGAAAUCCUGGAGCUCAACUCCAGAACUGCCUUCGAUACUGGCGAUCUUGAGUCCGGAAGAGGUGAGUGGAACUCCUAGUGUAGAGGUGGAAUUCGUAGAUAUUAGGAAGAACACCAGUGGCGAAGGCGGCUCACUGGUCUGGUACUGACGCUGAGGUGCGAAAGCGUGGGGAGCAAACAGGAUUAGAUACCCGGGUAGUCC